rnacentral:rRNA from 1 species
UACAGAGGUCCCGAGCGUUGUUCGGAUUCACUGGGCGUAAAGGGUGCGUAGGUGGCGUGGUAAGUUUGAUGUGAAAGCUCAGGGCUUAACCCUGAAAUGGCAUUGAAUACUACUGUGCUGGAGGUUUGGAGGGGGGACUGGAAUUCUUGGUGUAGCGGUGAAAUGCGUAGAGUAUCUGGAGGAAUACCGGUGGCGAAGGCGGCAUCCUGGACCGGCAUUGACGCUGAGGAGCGAAAGCUAGGGGAGCAAACGGG